rnacentral:rRNA from 1 species
GACGAACGCUGGCGGCGUGCUUAACACAUGCAAGUCGAACGGAAAGGACCUGCUUUUGUGGGGUGCUCGAGUGGCGAACGGGUGAGUAACACGUGAGUAACCUGCCCUUGACUUUGGGAUAACUUCAGGAAACUGGGGCUAAUACCGGAUAGGAGCUCCUGCUGCAUGGUGGGGGUUGGAAAGUUUCGGCGGUUGGGGAUGGACUCGCGGCUUAUCAGCUUGUUGGUGGGGUAGUGGCUUACCAAGGCUUUGACGGGUAGCCGGCCUGAGAGGGUGACCGGCCACAUUGGGACUGAGAUACGGCCCAGACUCCUACGGGAGGCAGCAGUGGGGAAUAUUGCACUAUGGGCGGAAGCCUGAUGCAGCAACGCCGCGUGCGGGAUGACGGCCUUCGGGUUUUAGUCCGCUUUCGCCUGUGACGAAGCGUGAGUGACGGUAAUGUGUAAAGAAGCACCGGCUAACUACGUG